GUCUCUUUGAGACAUCCGAUAAAUUGGAACGAUACAAAAAAGAUUAGUAUGACCCCUGCGCAAGGAUGACACACACAAAUCGAGAAAUGGUCCAAAUUUUU
rnacentral:snRNA from 1 species